rnacentral:rRNA from 1 species
AACGAACGCUGGCGGCAUGCCUAACACAUGCAAGUCGAACGAGACCUUCGGGUCUAGUGGCGCACGGGUGCGUAACGCGUGGGAACCUGCACGUAGGUUCGGAAUAACUGCCCGAAAGAGGAGCUAAUACCGGAGAAUGUCUUCGGACCAAAGAGUUAUCGCCUUUGGAUGGGCCCGCGUUGGAUUAGCUAGUUGGUAGGGGAAAAGCCUACCAAGGCGACGAUCCCUGGCUGGUCUGAGAGGAUGAUCAGCCACAAUGGGACUGAGACACGGCCCAGACGCCUACGGGAGGCAGCAGUGGGGAAUAUUGUACAAUGGGCGAAAGCCUGAUCCAGCAAUGCCGCGUGAGUGAUGAAGGCCUUAGGGUUGUACAUCUCUUUUACCCGGGAUGAUAAUGACAGUACCGGGAGAAUAAGCUCCGGCUAACUCCGUG